UACAGAGGUCUCAAGCGUUGUUCGGAUUCAUUGGGCGUAAAGGGUGCGUAGGUGGCAGGGUAAGUCGGAUGUGAAAUCCCGGGGCUCAACCUCGGAACUGCAUUCGAUACUGCUUUGCUGGAGUACUGGAGAGGAGAUUGGAAUUUACGGUGUAGCAGUGAAAUGCGUAGAUAUCGUAAGGAAGACCAGUGGCGAAGGCGGAUCUCUGGGCCGUAACUGACGCUGAGGAGCGAAAGCAUGGGGAGCGAACAGG
rnacentral:rRNA from 1 species